GUGUUCAUAGAAAGGAGAGAUGGUUGGCAUCUCCCCUGACAGGGACGGGAAUGAGCUUUGGCUCUUCUUGUUAGUGCACAUGUGUACCUUUAAGGCCAUCUGCUUCGGCGGAUCUCCUACAAAUUUUUCU